rnacentral:rRNA from 1 species
AUACGUAGGUGGCAAGCGUUAUCCGGAUUCACUGGGUGUAAAGGGCGCGUAGGCGGGGGUGCAAGUCAGAUGUGAAAUCUAUGGGCUUAACUCAUAAACUGCAUUUGAAACUGUAUCUCUUGAGUGCUGGAGAGGUAGACGGAAUUCCUUGUGUAGCGGUGAAAUGAGUAGAUAUAAGGAAGAACACCAGUGGCGAAGGCGGUCUACUGGAGAGUAACUGACGCUGAGGGGCGAAAGCGUGGGGAGCAAACAGGAUUAGAUACCCUGGUAGUCCACGCUCUAAACGAUGAAUACUAGGUGUCGGGUUUCUAUAGAGAUUCGGUGCCGCAGCAAACGCAAUAAGUAUGCCCCCUGGGGAGUAUGUGCGCAAGAAUGAAACUCAAAGGAGUUGGCGCGG